GAGUUCUCCCUGAGACUUAGAGUCUCCUGAAGGAACGUUGAAGACGACGACGUUGAUAGGCCGGGUGUGUAAGCGCAGCGAUGCGUUGAGCUAACCGGUACUAAUGAACCGUGAGGCUUAACCUUAC
rnacentral:rRNA from 2 species